rnacentral:rRNA from 1 species
CCUACGGGAGGCAGCAGUGAGGAAUUUUCCGCAAUGGGCGAAAGCCUGACGGAGCAAUACCGCGUGAGGGAUGAAGGAUUUUGGUCUGUAAACCUCUUUUCUCAAGAAAGAAGUUCUGACGGUACUUGAGGAAUAAGCAUCGGCUAACUCCGUGCCAGCAGCCGCGGUAAUACGGGGGAUGCAAGCGUUAUCCGGAAUGAUUGGGCGUAAAGCGCCUGUAGGUUGUUUAUUAAGUCCGUUGUUAAAGCCUAGGGCUCAACCCUAGAAAAGCAAUGGAAACUAGUAGACUAGAGUAUGGCAGGGGUAGAGGGAAUUUCUAGUGUAGCGGUGAAAUGCGUAGAUAUUAGAAAGAACACCGGUGGCGAAAGCGCUCUACUGGACCAUUACUGACACUCAGAGGCGAAAGCUAGGGUAGCAAAAGGGAUUAGAUACCCCUGUAGUCCUAGCCGUAAACGAUGGAUACUAGAUGUUGUGNAUAUAGUAUAGUAUCGUAGUACUACGUACGUUAAGUACUACCGUCCGUCGGGUAGGUACGUCGUCGCGAGGUAGGUAAACGUUAAAGUAGUAAGUUAGUACGGCGUGAGACGUGCCGACGACGACGACGAGGGAGGUAGG